rnacentral:rRNA from 3 species
AAACCAACAGGGAUUGCCUUAGUAACGGCGAGUGAAGCGGCAAAAGCUCAAAUUUGAAAUCUGGCACUUUCAGUGUCCGAGUUGUAAUUUGAAGAAGGUAACUCUGGAGUUGGCCCUUGUCUAUGUUCCUUGGAACAGGACGUCACAGAGGGUGAGAAUCCCGUGCGAUGGGGUGUCCAAUUCUAUGUAGAGUGCUUUCGAAGAGUCGAGUUGUUUGGGAAUGCAGCUCUAAGUGGGUGGUAAAUUCCAUCUAAAGCUAAAUAUUGGCGAGAGACCGAUAGCGAACAAGUACAGUGAUGGAAAGAUGAAAAGAACUUUGAAAAGAGAGUGAAAAAGUACGUGAAAUUGUUGAAAGGGAAGGGCUUGAGAUCAGACUCGGUAUUUUGCGAUCCUAUCCUUCGUGGAGAGGUUUCACUUGCAGCUUACCGGGCCAGCAUCGGUUUGGAUGGUAGGAUAAUGACAUUGGAAUGUGGCUUUUCGGAGUGUUAUAGCCUUUGUUGAUACUGCCUAUCUAGACCGAGGACUGCGUCUUUGACUAGGAUGCUGGCAUAAUGAUCUUAAGCCGC